AGAGUCCGUGAAUAUUUCCUGUAAGUGAGUGGUUUAAGUGAAGCUCAGCUCAGAAGAAACCUGAUCAGUGUUUUGUGUAAGACUUUGCUGCAGGCGGGGAUGAAGCUGGAGGACAUGCAGAGGAUACCUGAGGCUGUGCAGCACAUCGAGAAGGCCAGCGUGAUGAACGUGGAGAACGGCACUCCAGACACCGCCGCCAUGGCCCUGGACAAAGCCGGGAAGUGAUCGGCUAGACUCAUACAGCACCUGAGCACGUGAGAUGUGUGUGGGGUUAAUGAAUCCUGUCCCGUUGCAGGCUGAUCGUACCUCUGGACUCAGCCAAAGCCACUCAUCUGUACCAGCAGGCAGCAGGAGUGUCCGAGAAAACCAUCGCACAAGUGCUGGUGCAUCUGCACAGAGGAGACUACCUGGCGGCGGAGAAGUGUGUGCGGGAGAGCUACAGUACCCCAGGAUUCAGCGGGCGCGGGAG